rnacentral:lncRNA from 1 species
GGAGGCCUUCCAUUCUCUUUUAGCCUCCAUCCAUCUAAGAGAAAAAUGCACUAAGGAUUUCACUCAAUUUGUGCGGAAAGAUGAGGAAAUUCACACUGAAAUGAAGAACCACGCUCCCAAAAUAGCAUUAACCUAGAACAGCACUGCUGGGGGAAUAAGAGACCUUGAAUGUAGUGGGUCCAUCUUUGGUAAAAGGUCAAGGGGCGCUCCCAGGGGAUCGCUGGGUGGCGGUUAUCUGAUGAUACACUUGCUGUUCCUUUCAGGGAGCCUUGGAGCCAGCUCAGGGAUUUUCACCUCAGCCAGAUUUUCUUUCUCCAGACCAAAUAAAUGUGUCUUCUUCAAAUAAACAACUUCUGAGUAAACCUGGAAAUGACAGAAGAAAAAACAAAACUAAACUAACUCUGAGUUAGUUGUCACUCGGAGCCUCUCCCCUAGGCUGGGUCCAGCUAUUUGUCUCAGGACCCACCCAGCAUCUGCUCAUAAACCCGCUGCAGCGCGUGAUCUGAAAGAUUCUGUUUCCAGGCUGCAUCUUCACUAGUCUGGACCCGGGUCCUCAGCAUCAGGGACUGUGUUUGGGAUUUAUCUAUCUCCAGCCUCUAGCCCAGCUCCUGGCAUACGCUUCUCGAAAAGUUAAAAUAAUCUGUGUGGCUCACAUUCCACUCAACAGCACUGGCUCAGACCUUACCUGGCUUCCAUCAGACCUGGCCAGAGUCUACCGAGACCCCAUUGACUUGACCAACAUAGCGUCAGUCCAGCAAGACCUGAGGUUCACCAACAGCUCCAGAAAGUCCCAGAAGCAAGUAACAGGUGGCCACUUCCCCUGUCUCUCCUCCUGGUCGAGCCAUACCACACACGCAGAGGUCUCCACAGCAGGGCGUGCUUUGCUGCCCUCUGCUGACAGCAUCCCAGCUCCCGCAGAGUCACCGGCGCCCAGAGCCUCUCCCUCUGGCCUCUCCUGCUUCACCGGCAGGCAGCCAUUCUGGCUCUUCUCUGCUUCCCACUUUCCCAUCCUUAGCAUGCUGUUUUCAAGAGUAGGGGUGGGACAGAAAAGAGACUGCACCUUCUCAAAAGAAAGAUGUGUUCUGGAGAAAGCAGUUUCUUUUUAAGACCAUUAUGUAUUUCCUUCAAAAAUACAAACCUAUCUUGUAGUGUUCCUCACACUCACUCGUGACUAGUAUCAUGUAGGACAUUUGUUAAAUAUACAGAUUAUCAGGCCUCACUGCUGGACAUUCUGGAUCAGGAGUUUAGAGUUGGAAGCCCAGGAAUCAGUUUUUAACAAGGACCCCAGGUGAUUCUUGUUCCCCAGGAAAUUUGAGAAAUAUGGCUAUGGAGCAGAGCCUCUCAAACCCAAAGGGGCUCCCUAAUCACCUGGGACCUGGUGAAACGCAGGUUCUGAUCCAGUAGGUCUGGGCUGGAGCCUGAGAUCUCACACAUGUAAAGGUUCCCCUGUGAUGUCCGUGCUGCUGGCCCAUGGCCACGCUUUCAGGAGCGAGGUUGGAGACACUCAGGGUCCCCCCCCCCCCAGGUGUAUCCUUAACUGCGCACCUGUUCUAUUUAGAAUCACUACGAGCUCCUCCGCCGCUUACCACUCCCAUCGAAGCUUUUCUAAAAAGCAAGCUCAAAUUGUUCUUUCUUUCGUCUGGAAAAGCAAGGAUGCCCCCUUUUGACAGCUCAGAAUAUUUUCUUUAAAAUGCCAGAAGAGGAACAGCAGGUGUAUUUUCUUCCAAAACAUCUUUUUUCAAUUCGUAUUGGUUAGAAAGAAUUCCUUUCCUAGACUAAUUCCUUCCAUAGACUAACUAUGAAGCCCGGUGCAUUGAAACCUUGUGGGAAUCCUGGCCAUUUAAGCCGAAGGUAUGAUGGGAGUGAUGCUCUGAGACUGUGCCCUCUUGAAAGUUUGCCCUCAGAAGGAACCAGGCAGGGGGAGCUGGGGCUUGAGAAGUGAAUGGUCGCCUUUGAGGACUGUCCGUGGUCUCCAAUCUUUAAACUCGGUUUCUGCCCUUAUCUUUUAACCCUUUUCUCCCUGGCACACAGCCAGCAUGUUUAGUGCUCUCAGAUCCGGCACUCAUCCCGGUCAGGCUGUUACUGCUCCUAGCAGUUCCCAGUGAU